UUAAGGUUUUUUUGAGGAGGGUUUUCAGUAACUGCAGCAAUGAGUUCAAAAAAGACAACAAGGAGAAAGUUGAGUGGGAGGGGGAUAACAGCUGCUCAUCCUUGGAACAAAGAUGAGGCAACUGGAAGCGGGCGUGGUCGUGACCAAUAGAAGGUUUUUGGACAGGUGAUGAGCAGCUGCUCUGUUUCUACUGAGGACUAGCUAAGAACAAAUUGCCAAAAGGACCUUGGCCACCACAGUCAUUUCCAGGAAGAACUCUGACACUGCAGGGGCUGGGA
rnacentral:lncRNA from 1 species